GUGCCAAGAAAAGCAUAUGCAUCUAAUGAAUAUAAAACACUUUCACUUUACAAAUUACAGAAAAGUGUAGCCAAAUUAUUUAAGAAGCAUAAUUAGUACACUGUAAAAAAAGUCAGUAAAAUAUACAGCAAAACACCGUCAAAUUCCAACGGUAAUGGAGCGUAAAACCAAAAACUUCCUUUUACUGUAUUAAAUAGAUUGAAUAACCGUUAAUUGUGAGACUGGAUAAAACUUUGUUUUUUACUGUAAUAAAAUGUUGAAAUUAUAAAUAUUUUCUGUGAAAACAAAUAAAUAUGCAUACAUUUUACAAUUAAAUAUUGUAAUGUUGAAAAUGUCUGAAAACCUUAGAUUUUACGGUAUUAUUUGAGUAAAACUACAUCUUUUGGGGUUGUGCACAUUGGAAUUCACAGUAUAAAUCUGUAGAUUUUUAAGCAAACAAAACAUUCAUUUUUACAGAAGCAAGAUGUUAAAAAAAUAGGGUCCACCGUAAUAAUACAACCAGUAAAUACAAUUUAAAAAAAAGCAAAUAUCAGCAGUAAAAGACAAUAAAAUUGAUAGUAUUUUUUAUUUUAAAAUUCAGAUACUGAUAUACAGAUUAAAAGUUAGGCCUGCAGUAUAUCAUUGUUAACCUUCUGAUAAAAAAAUCAACAGCAAAAGAAGAUGUUUAAAAUAAAGUUCAUGGUUGUGAAUAAAAUUGAUUUCAAUAAUCUUUUUUAAUUAUUAUUUUAAAACAACUUUAUGUUAUGUUUCACGCCAUAUUAUCAGACCACCUUAAGUGGGUCCGCCUUAAAUUUUGAGUUUGUGUGAUCGCUGUUGAUUGGUUGCUGGUAAACUGUGUACAGACGUUUUACGUUCGAAUUGCAGAGAAAAAAUGUUUUCUGGUAGCAACAUUGUGCAGUAUGAGCGAACCAUUUCACCAAAAAAAGGGGAAGCAAGGCAAGACGUGACUUCUGAUCAAACCUCCUCCUAAAGAAAGAAAGAGCGACAUCACAUUGCGGGAUGACGUCACCUGAAAAUGACGCUGCUGAGCUGUGUGCCGCGCGCCUUUUUUUUUCUUGCAGGAGACUUGUUGGCUUCGCUAACGGACGCAGUUUUGAACUCGUAUUAGCGCCAUUUAUAGCUGCUUGGACCAGCAUCUUCGGAAUUUGUAGACAUCCUGGCAACUUACAAUUAAUUCGAGGUGAGACACUGAAUUUGAGCAGAAACCAUAAGGAUACUCAAAGGACCUGUGACUCUCAGGAAAUGAAGGGAUCUAGCCAGUCCACAAUGAAAGCUUCGUUGCCCCCCUGUGAGUCUUCUGGCAGAAAUGAUGGCGCCUGUAUUCUUUGGUUUCCCUAA
ensembl:lncRNA